GCUAUGGAUGCGGAUGAUGAGGCAGAAAUCAGCGAGUCAGAGUCACAGAAGAUUGCUUUGUCAGUUGGAAACAGACGUCAAAGUGGCCUGAGAGAGUUAUCGAUGAGAGAAUCCGCAUCUCUCAAACCAGUAAAGAAGAAAAAGAACGUUCGGUCUAAACUGUUCGACUAUGAGCAAUCUCAAGGACGAAGCCGGCGAAGGAUGCUUGGCCACC